AUUGAACGCUGGCGGCAUGCCUUACACAUGCAAGUCGAACGGUAACAGGUUAAGCUGACGAGUGGCGAACGGGUGAGUAAUAUAUCGGAACGUGCCCAGUCGUGGGGGAUAACUGCUCGAAAGAGCAGCUAAUACCGCAUACGACCUGAGGGUGAAAGCGGGGGAUCGCAAGACCUCGCGCGAUUGGAGCGGCCGAUAUCAGAUUAGGUAGUUGGUGGGGUAAAGGCCCACCAAGCCAACGAUCUGUAGCUGGUCUGAGAGGACGACCAGCCACACUGGGAUUGGGCAACGGCCCAGACUCCAACGGGAGGCAGCGUUGGGGAAUUUUGGACAAGGGGCGCAAGCCUGAUCCAGCCAUGCCGAGGGCGGGAAGAAGGCCUUCGGGUUGUAAACCGCUUUUGUCAGGGAAGAAAAGGUUCUGGUUAAUACCUGGGACUCAUGACGGUACCUGAAGAAUAAGCACCGGCUAACUACGUGCCAGCCGCCGCCGUAA
rnacentral:rRNA from 1 species